UUUUUUUUUCUUUAUAGUGUUGGCCCGUAAGGCCCGUUAAUUUAGAGAGAUGGGUAGAGACGCAUCGACACUCUGGAACCCUAAUCUCUUCUCUCUCGCGCAAGACCGACGAUCUCCUUCUGAGCCCUUUCAUCUUCUUCCGUUAGUCGUUCACGUUUUGUCAUUCAAUCCACCAUCAAACCUUAGGCUGAGACGAUGAAUAUCUUCUGCCUCUCCUAUCUUUGUCGUUUCCGCUACUCCAUCCCUGUGUCUUUAUAAAUUAAACAUUUUAAAGCUUCUUAUGCUCUUUGACAAAAAAAAAAGUCUCUUAAGCUCCCACGAACAGGCCCUGUAACACUACCGUCGAAACUUUGUGUUCUCAGAUUUUGCAAGGUCGGGAAUCGGGAUGUGAUAAGAAAUGGCAAGCUUAUGGGGUCGGUCUACUUCUUCUUGACGCUAAGCUUAUGCAGGCCCGGAUUGCAAAUCUUUAACGAGUCAUAUGAUUAUGAACUGACGUGAUCAAAUCAGAAGCCAAUCUAAUCCCAUGAGAUCUUCCCGUAAGGGUCAAUACCUAUGGCCCAGAUUGCAAACUUUUAAAAGAAAGUUGUUCAAGUAGAUGUCAAAGGUCUUGGCGCCACCACAUCCAUUGGUCAAACACUGGAUCUUUGUCAUGAGAAACGACCAACCUCCUACAGCUAUUUCAGGAAUGCAAUAGCUGAAAUAGGGAGACUAUUGAUGUUCGAAGCAUCUCGAGAGUGGCUGGAAUGGUUUCCAGAGGUAGGACUUUCUAUGCAACAAUUUUGACGAGCAAGCAACAGUUCACUGGAGAAGAAGAAAUAGGAGUCUCGAGCACACACGGCUCAGAUUCACGCUGAUGUCUUUGUAGCUGGUGUGGAUGCAUCUGUUAGCUGUCGCAGGAGCAACCGCUGUGUCUUCCAGCUUUGGGAAGGACGAGAAAAUGGCUAAGUCAGAAGUAGCAGUUGCCACGACCCUUGCGGAUGCUCUGUAUAUGAAGGAUGAUGAAGUGAUUGCAGCUAAGCGAGAGCAUUUGGCCUUAACAGUCAAUGAGACAAUGAAGAAACCUUCAAGAAUGAAGAUUGUGGACAAUGAGAAGAGCGGGAGAGUAACUUAUCAGAAACUCAAAAAGCGUUGUUGAAAGAUUUGAUACCAAUCUUGACAACUAGGACAUCAGUGACCUGUACAAUAUUUGGAUCCGUAGCUGUUGUAGUGGGUCUAUAUGAUAAAGGGAGAUUGAAUUUGGAGCUUGAGGUUUGAUUGAUAAGUGUGCAUUGAACUUAGUUUUGAGGACCAAUCAGACACUGUUACACUUAUGUUCAAGGUCUUCAUCAAGAUAUCAGUAGGGAAAGUUCUUCAUCAAGAUAUCCGUAGGGAGAUGGAUCACAAAGGAGGACAGUUAAUAAAGAUAUGAAGUUCAGUUAUUAAAAGAAUAAUUGCACACAAAAGAAAAAAAAUGAAAACUCUUGCGGAAAACGUACUCUAUAGAAUGUAGGACAACCUUAAUAUAGCUCAUAAUUGUAACACAAACCCAAAGUUAGUAGCCAUUAGUAUCUACAAACCUUAACAUUUGGUUAAACAACUAAAAUCUGGUACUGAUCUGGUAUUGUAAAACGAUUAGAACUCCAUAUUCGUCUUAUUCAAAUAAUAUAUAACACAUUCAAUAACAAAAUAUAAAACCCACGGCACCUUGAAAUACUUUACCACUUAAGUAAUUUGUUGGUCUUUUCGGCUCUAUUCUUUGUCUUCAAUCUUUGAUUUGGGCUACAAUAGUAUGAGUCUUACGAUAAUCAAAUAGCAAUUAACUAGAUUUAGUCUUUUGUUUUGAAACAAACUAGAUUUAGUUCAUCGGUCAAUUUUCUUUCUACGUUCAUAUAUGGUCAUUAAUUUAUCAUAAAUGUAAUUAUUUUAAACCUUUAGAAUGACGAGGGGUUUGAAAAAACUUCAAAAUCAACGUGCCGUUCACCAAUACUACAAAAUAGAGGAGGCAAAAACAUUGGUACAAUGACGGUUAAUUUUCAAAUCAAUUACAUGGAAGCCAAAAAGAGAAGUCAAUGCAACUCCGAGUCCGAAGUAUUUUAUGUCCCAAAAUAUUUUCUUGCGAGCUCUUUUGAGCAAAAACAUCUAUCUAUUUGUAUUUAAUUGAUAACUAAAAGCUGGUUAUGAAAUAAAAAUUUCUGUAUUGAAGAAAUCUCUAAGAAUAAAAUUCUUUCUUUACUAAAUAAAAUAGAGAAACAUUAAAUAUAAAGUUAACAUUAGAUAGCAUAUUAAACUUUGGAAACAAACCCGGAGGGUUAAAUACAAAUAGAACAAAAAAUAAGUAUAAGAAAUUCAAAACUAUAUUAUAAUUUUUUCCCAUGUAUUAUUUGUGUGAUCAAAUUUCAAUAUUUUAACUAAAAUGACCCAAAAUGUAUAUACAACUACCACUGAUAAAUUUGUAAAACUUUAUAAGCAUCAAAUAAAAAUUUGAAAAAUAAAGAAUACAAAUUGAUUACAUUAAAAUAAUUAUAAAAAUAACUCAGUUUAUUUUCAUCUUAUUUGUUAUGUUAAUUGUGUUGUUUUACAUAUAGUUUAAAUAUGCUUUACAUGAACAUAAAUUCUAUGAUACAAUUGAAAAAAUAAACCCAAAUUAAAAUUUGGAAAUUUACACAAUAUUCAAUUUAAAUUGGUAACAAAUAAACUGUUCCAAAUUUAGUUAGAAAUAAUAUAUUACUAAAUUUUUAUAUAUAAAUAAAACAAAUUUAAAAUAUGUAAUCCGCGCGCCAUAAAUAGUUGAUAUCUUAUUCUAAAUUUUAUCAUUGAAAAAUAUGUUUUAAGAUAACAACACAAUAUAUAAGAAUUAUCUUAUUUCUUAGUUGCACCAAAAAGAAUUAUCUUUUUUUUAAUCUUUUAUUAUUAAGAAAAUUCGUUUUCGAUUAUAUAUAUAAUUAAUUAUAUUAAAAGUUUAUUAAAUGUAUCAUCGACUUUGACCACUCUAAUUUGUGAAGUGAGAACUCGAUUGCGAAAACUUAUUUCGCAUUAUAUCGAAAUUUUAAAUGAAGCAUUCACAUAUUAGAAAUAUUUUAUAAAAUAUAUUUAUACAAAAUGUGUUAGUUGAUUAAUAUUUAUUUACAAAUUGUUUAUAUGUUCUAACUUUUAUAAUUAAUAAAAUAUUUUUUUAAGAUAGCAACACAAUACAUAUAAGAAUUAUCUAAUUUAAAAUAUUGUAAAAAUAAAAAUUAUAAUAGUAUCAAUAAUUUUUUUAAUUAUAUAAUUAAUUAUAUAUAAAUUUCAUCAAGGAUAAAACUGAUUUUAACCAUUUAAUUAUUAUAAAUGGUUUGAUAUCUUAUUUUAAAUUUUAUAAUUGAAAAUAUGUUUUAAGAUAACAACACAAUAUAUAAGAAUUAUCUUAUUUUGUAAAAACAAAUAUUAUUAAGAAAAUUUUGUUUUUGAUUAUAUAUAAAUUAAUUAAUUAUUUAAAUAUUUAAUUUUGAUAAUAAUUAUGUAGAAAGAGGUUUUUAAGACACAAGGUAUGAUAACAAGAGUUACAAGAACUAUAUUUUCCAAUGUGUUACAAGAGCUAGAUUUUGAACACAAUUAUUCGUCAAAAUUAUUGAGUAUUCACGUGGGUAAUAUAAUACAUGAUCCUAACUCAUGUGAUUAAGAAAAAUCCAAAAGAAAAUAAUAUUUGAUAAGUUAUUUAGGUGUCAAAAAUGAUUACAAAAUCAUUGACAUUUUACAUAAAAAAUAAAAUAAUAUAUUGGAGUAAAAAUCAACUCUAUUUUAGUAUUAUAUUAUUAUAAAAUAAAAUUUAGAAUAAUACUUGUGAAGUGCUUUAAUGGCCGCAUUGUUUACUGAACUACCACAUUUAAACACAUGAUUUAGUAUAUCAUUUUCUCAGUAAAACGUUAAGGUUAUUUGGUGUUGGUCAUAAGAACUAUCAAAACAUGAGUACGUUUCAAUCACCUAUCCUACCAUUUUUUUCUCUUUCAAAUGCUUAAAAACAUAGGAGUUAUGAUUAAUAAAACAAUACGAUAGAUUUUUAAAAUGAUUGCAGCUUCUUUUUUUCAAAAGACUUAAUCUCUUUCUUACAAUAUUUAUGAUAACUCUGUUACAAAAAACAAAUUAUGAUAAUUUAAACUACUCUCUUUGUUUUUUAACAAUUGCACAAAUUUAAUAAUCAUCAACUUUUCCAUAAUUUUGAAAAAAAAUACAAUGUUCUCAGUCACCAGACAAAAACAUUGAACCUAUGAUCGUAAAUUAAAAUAUCUAUACACUUUUUCGCGCGUAGCGCGGAGAAAAACUCUAGUUAAUUCUAAUAUCAUUUAUGUCAUAUUUUGUGCUUUGAUUUUAAUUUUUAAAAAUAAUUAUAAAUGGUUUGUCCUCAUUAAUAUAUAUUUUUAUUUCUCACCAUUGUUUUCUCAUAAAAAACAACAAGAACAACUAACACUUUUAUACAACAUUCUAUAGUUCAAAAUAUGGCUACAUCAACUAAUACAAAUUAGACCAAAAGAUAAUCACCCCGCGCGUAGCGCGGGCACACCACUAGUAUGGUAAUAUAUUAGCUAUUGAAUAACAUAAGAGAUAUUUUGUGUUUUGAAACAUUCAAAAAUACUUAACUUUAGUUUUUUGUUUUCAUUUUUAUUUGACAUAUAAAAUAUCAAAUUACAAAUUAGACUAUUUAACCAUUUUUGCAACAAUUUAAGAAUUAUGACAUAAUAAGAAUAUCAAAACUUAAAAUUCAUAUGUAUUUAAAUAUGAAUAAUAAAAAUAAACUUUAAAUCUAAAUUAAA